UACAGAGGUCUCAAGCGUUGUUCGGAUUCAUUGGGCGUAAAGGGUGUGUAGGUGGCGCGCUAAGUCGGGUGUGAAAUUUCGGAGCUUAACUCCGAAACUGCAUUCGAUACUGUGGUGCUUGAGGACUGGAGAGGAGACUGGAAUUUACGGUGUAGCAGUGAAAUGCGUAGAGAUCGUAAGGAAGACCAGUGGCGAAGGCGGGUCUCUGGGCCGAUACUGACGCUGAGGAGCGAAAGCGUGGGGAGCGAACAGG
rnacentral:rRNA from 1 species